rnacentral:rRNA from 1 species
GAUGAACGCUGGCGGCGUGCCUAAUACAUGCAAGUCGAGCGAACAGACGAGGAGCUUGCUCCUCUGACGUUAGCGGCGGACGGGUGAGUAACACGUGGAUAACCUACCUAUAAGACUGGGAUAACUUCGGGAAACCGGAGCUAAUACCGGAUAAUAUAUUGAACCGCAUGGUUCAAUAGUGAAAGACGGUUUUGCUGUCACUUAUAGAUGGAUCCGCGCCGCAUUAGCUAGUUGGUAAGGUAACGGCUUACCAAGGCAACGAUGCGUAGCCGACCUGAGAGGGUGAUCGGCCACACUAGAACUGAGACACGGUCCAGACUCCUACGGGAGGCAGCAGUAGGGAAUCUUCCGCAAUGGGCGAAAGCCUGACGGAGCAACGCCGCGUGAGUGAUGAAGGUCUUCGGAUCGUAAAACGCUGUUAUUAGGGAAGAACAAAUGUGUAAGUAACUAUGCACGUCUUGACGGUACCUAAUCAGAAAGCCACGGCUAACUACGUG